UCCUACGGGAGGCAGCAGUCGGGAAUAUUGCGCAAUGGGCGAAAGCCUGACGCAGCCAUGCCGCGUGUGUGAAGAAGGCCCUAGGGUUGUAAAGCACUUUCAAUUGGGAGGAAAAGCUAAUGGUUAAUAACCAUUAGCCCUGACGUUACCUUUAGAAGAAGCACCGGCUAACUCCGUGCCAGCAGCCGCGGUAAUACGGUGGGUGCAAGCGUUAAUCGGAAUUACUGGGCGUAAAGCGCGCGUAGGCGGUUUUUUAAGUCGGAUGUGAAAGCCCCGGGCUCAACCUGGGAACUGCAUCCGAUACUGGAUAACUAGAAUGCGGGAGAGGGAGGUAGAAUUCCAUGUGUAGCAGUGAAAUGCGUAGAUAUAUGGAGGAAUACCAGUGGCGAAGGCGGCCUCCUGGCUCGACAUUGACGCUGAGGUGCGAAAGCGUGGGGAGCAAACGGGAUUAGAUACCCCGGUAGUCCACGCCGUAAACGAUGUCUACUAGCUGUAGGGGUACUUGAGACCUCUGUAGCGCAGCUAACGCAAUAAGUAGA
rnacentral:rRNA from 1 species